CCACUGUCUCCAGCUGUCCCAGAACCGGACUCUUCCUGCCAUCAAAAUGGCGGCGGCGACGGCAGCGGUGGUAGCACCUACGCUGGCGGUGAGCAGGCAAAGGAAGUUGCUUCCGAGCGCGUCGAAACGAUGAUGCGCACGCGCAAAGUAGGCCUACGUGGAGCCGACCUGCCAUUGGGUAAACGCAAGGGAGGAGAAAAGGGAACCUGAUGGAAUAAACUGCUGUGAGAGGGAGUAUUGAAAAUACUUCUCCCCUGGACCUUGUUCCCAGGCUCCGUGUGAAGCUGAACACUCCGCAUGAUCUCCCUGCCACCAUAGCAAGCUAUGAAGUUCAUUACACAUGCAGGUAGCAGACAAUACAGCUCUGCUUCCAUUUCUGAGCACCUACGGUAGACUGCCAUUAUUCAGUGUGCCAGCCUGUUUCCAAGCCUACAAUGUAUAGUUCCUCUACCUCCAGCAGAUUAGAAGAAAAUGAGAAGUGAGGAUGAGAAAGCUAUUACUGCACAGUCUAUUCAUAAAUGCUCAAAACGAUGUCCCUGAGUCACUUAAAUGUGUUUGACUUAUGGUGGGUAUCCUCUUAUAAAAAGGCAGUUUUCACAGAAUAGUAGAAUUUGGUUAAAAAAAAAAAAAAACUAUUAGAAAAAUUUACUUUAACCUCCUUUCCUUUUUUCUAACUUUUUAAUGAAAUAUAAUAUUCAUGCAGAAAACUAUCAGAUUAAAGUGUAUAGCUCACUACAUUAAAAAAAAGUGUAUUGUGAUCAGCAUCCAGAUUAAAGAAAGAAAGGUUAUUUCCAGAAACCAAUAACCCUCUUACCCUUUUUCAAUCACCACAUUCCCCACCCUCCCAAAGAUAGUUGCUGCCCUACUUCUAACAGCAUUGCCUUUGUACUUUAUAUAAAUAGACUCAUACAGUAUGCACCCUUGUACUACUUUGUGUCUGAAUUAUUUUAACUUUUUUUUUUUUUAAAUAAUGACACCCAGGAUGUGACAGGCACACAAAUAAUGACCAAGCAAGGAAUACAAGAAGCCACAGGUCUUCAUCUUUGGACUAAAGCAAUUCUCACUAGCUCUUUCAGAAAGUUUUUGCUCCAUAAGACUUUAACACAUUUUCAUCUUAAAAGAUGUUUCAACUAUAUGAAUCAACAAAGAAACAAAGAUAUAAAAAACAAUAAAAUUAAACAUCUAAGUAAAUAAUUUAUUAUAUGCAAAAUGAGUAGCUGCAAUGUCAAAUUUUGUCUGCUUAAUCUCACGUGUAAUCCAGAUAUAAAUAAGUUAUUGUUUUGAACGAUAACUUUAUUUUUAUGUCCUCUAUGCCUCCACAAAAUUAACUGUACCUAACUGGCCAAUUUUCAGAAGGUUAACUUAUCUCUAUGAAUAUAUAACUUCAAUAAUUCUCAUCUUUGCAUAGAUGUGUGAUGAACAAUGUGGAAGUAAAAAUGGCUGAAAACACAAACAAAAAAAUUAGUAGAUUGACUCCAGAAUACUAAUGCUGUGGUCCUUUGCAUCAGAGAUUAAGUAUGCUUCACUAGAAGUGUGGAGGUAGGCCAGCUGAAUCCUUGUGGUCACUCACCAGCUGAAUGCCCCCCAAACCCUUGGUCUUGGCCUGAAAGUUAUUUUAUUUUUCUUUAGUGACUAUUGAUAAUAUAUUAUUUUGGAGACAACCUAAAAUCGGUAACAGAAGUUAGUUAUGUCUAUUAAUAAAACAGAUUUAUAAAAAAGAAGUAUCCCAAAAUGGCAUACAUAUUUAGAAAUCCCUAAAAUUCUUAAAGAAAAAUGUUUGAAUUAAUAAUGUUCCAUUUUCCCUAGCAUUUCUAUUUCCUGUUUGGGGAAAUUGUCAAUAUGAUGUCCUGCAAUGUUGUUUUUUUAGGUUUGUGAUUAGUUUUUGUAAUGCUCCUUAUUUUUAUCUGGUCUACUGUAACACUGCACUUAGCAUGAACUAAAAAUUGUUAUUACUAAUUGAUUUAAAUUAAUUUCAUAGGCAUUAUAUUACAUAAUAAAAUGCAAUAAAAAUUGCAUUCUCUCUAUAUCUAACAACUCAAGUUUAGGGGAAUAAAUUUAGCAAAGGCCCAUGCAAAUCUAUAGGUCCUUUUUCCAAAUAAAAAUUUUGAAUUUGAAAAGGAACAAAAAUUUAUCACAUGUAUAAAAUGUAGAAAAGCGUAACUUUAGCACGCAGUUGGCUGAUAUCUAAAAAAACAGCCAUCCCCAUAAGAUAUAUAAGCAAGUGAAAAAAGACACAUAUAGAAACAAUAUCAUUUCCGUUCUCAGCUCAGAGGUCACAUGUGAAAGAUUAUUAAAAAGAAAAUUGUUUGCUGGUUGAAGUUAACCCUUCCCACAUACCAUGUCUGUGUAAUGUCUAAGUUGACACAUUGUAAUUAUGUGAAAGCCAUAUUUAAACAUGAAGUUUUCAGAUGUAUAUUUUUAUGAAUCACUUUGAAUCACUCUUCUGUAUGAAACAUUCAUUUGAAAGGCAUUUAAGGUAAGAUUUUCAAAUCCGUUUUAAGAGGUGGUUGACUUUAACCAAAGAUUUAAAAUUAAUUUCACUGCUAUUUGUCUUUAAAGCCGCCACGGUGACCUCAGAAAGUCCAGACUUUCUACUGAAACGUGACAGGAGAUCUAAAAUUAUCACAAGGGUUUCACAAAAUUUUAAAAUCCAGAUUGAUUUUAAUUUGAAAAAAGUCAAUACUUUAUCUUCUGAAUGUGAGAACUUUAAAUAAGCUGAACAGCACUGAGUUACUUAAACAAGUUGAUUUCAAAUGUGGAACAAAGGCUUUUCAUUUUCACUUGUGGGCAUUUCCCAUUUUGGAAAAUGGCAUGUGGCUGAGGCAGCGGAACCUGUCUUGGUAUGGCAAGAACAGUGGCAUCAAGGAACAGUGCUUAGGAAGUCAUCAGUACCUGUCUUGGAAAGCAGCCCAUUUGUAUGUGCAUUGUGUUUUUUAACAAAAUGUGUAUCUGCUUGCCUGUGGGAGUGCCUCGUGUAUGUGUGUAUACUGCAGAUCAUUUCACUGUGUCUCAAUUUCCUCAUCUAUGAGAUGGUCACAGACACUGCCGUCAGCAUUCCUCAAAUUCCUAAACCUAGGCUUUUGAAAACCAGCUAAGGAUUCCAAAGUAAAUGAUGGGGCUUGGAGGUAUAAAGAAAAAUGAAACUGAGCUGUUAUAACUCUUUUCCACGUUUCCAAACUUGAGCACACCCAUUCCCGACCAGAUCCCCUUUCCCAUAAUUUCCACUUCUGAUGUUGGACCAUGACUGGAAAAAAAGGAAAGCUGGAAGAAAUAACUGAAAAAUCCAAGAGGAAAGAGUGAAACUAAAUCUCCUAAUAGAAAAAGUGGAACAUGAUUGUCCUAAUUUCCUAAUCGUCUGCCCCUGAGUUACUGGUAAAAGCACUAAGAGACGUCCCAGAUAUUAUGAUCCUUUUACACAGCAUGCAGAUGGAAAAUCAGGGUGGGAUAAAGGAAGAGAAGAACAGAGAAGAGGCAGAUUAACAGAAUCAAAUUCCAGAUGGGAAAGGAUGGAGAAAGGCAAAUGGCAUUCGGGCUCUCCCUCUCAACUAUUCAUGCUUUUUCCUAUGGGAGAAAAGGGAGGUGGUUUCUUCUGGAUGCUCUAAGUCUGGGCAGACAAUAAAACAUCACCACAGUGACAGCCGGGUUAUUACUUUCCAGCUUGUGACCAAAAUGAGACCCUAGUGUGGCAGAAUUAAAAUUCGCAAUCUCAUCCAUGAAAGGAUUUUCUGUACCAGACGUUUUGUUAAAGGUCUUUAAAAAACAGCCUAAUGUGUUAAUAUUGAAAAUAGAUGCAUGUAAUUUGAGAAUGAGUAUAAAAUACCGUGUGUAUUGAAUUAAUAAUGUUUCAUUACUCACCAUCACAGAGUCAUUAUUUUAAAUAACCGUAUUUCAUUUCAGUGGACAGAGUGUAAAUGAGUAUGUAUUUUUAUGUAAAGUGGACCUGCAUCAUUAUUUAUUCAUGAGUUUUAAAAGGAUCAUUAUUUUUGACAGACAGCUCCUGUCAAAAGAUUUAUGCAUAAGAGCUCAUGUUUCCC
ensembl:lncRNA MMADHC-DT MMADHC divergent transcript